rnacentral:rRNA from 1 species
CCUACGGGAGACAGCAGUAGGGAAUAUUGCUCAAUGGGGGAAACCCUGAAGCAGCAACGCCGCGUGGAGGAUGAAGGUUUUCGGAUUGUAAACUCCUUUUGUUAGAGAAGAUAAUGACGGUAUCUAACGAAUAAGCACCGGCUAACUCCGUGCCAGCAGCCGCGGUAAUACGGAGGGUGCAAGCGUUAUUCGGAAUCACUGGGCGUAAAGAGCGCGUAGGCGGGAUAGCAAGUCAGAUGUGAAAGCCUAUGGCUUAACCAUAGAACUGCAUUUGAAACUGUUAUUCUUGAGUAUGGGAGAGGUAGGUGGAAUUCGUGGUGUAGGGGUAAAAUCCGUAGAGAUCAAGAGGAAUACUCAUUGCGAAGGCGACCUGCUAGAACAUAACUGACGCUGAUGCGCGAAAGCGUGGGGAGCAAACAGGAUUAGAUACCCGAGUAGUC